GAGGCCCGCCGCGGUAACGACGGGUAACGGGGAAUCAGGGUUCGAUUCCGGAGAGGGAGCCCGAGAAACGGCUACCACUUCCAAGGAAGGCAGCAGGCGCGCAACUUACCCUAAUCUCGAUUCGAGGAGGUAGUGACAAGAAAUACCGAUGCGGGACCCUACGGGUGCCGCGUUCGGAAUGAGUACGAUUCGAACCACCUAACGAGGAACGAUCGGAGGGCAAGUCUGGUGCCAGCAGCCGCGGUAAUUCCAGCUCCAAUAGCGUACGUUAAAGUUGCUGCAGUUAAAAAGCUCGUAGUUGAACGUUCGGGUUCCGCGGGACGGGGCCGCCCCGCGAGGGACGGCGCCGCCCCGGGGCUCGUGAUAUCUCAUCUCGCCGCCCGUCGCGAGGCGGACGGAGGGAUGGAUGAGGUUACC
rnacentral:rRNA from 1 species